rnacentral:rRNA from 1 species
UACGAAGGGGGCUAGCGUUGCUCGGAAUCACUGGGCGUAAAGCGCACGUAGGCGGCUUCUUAAGUCAGGGGUGAAAUCCUGGAGCUCAACUCCAGAACUGCCUUUGAUACUGGGAAGCUUGAGUCCGGGAGAGGUGAGUGGAACUGCGAGUGUAGAGGUGAAAUUCGUAGAUAUUCGCAAGAACACCAGUGGCGAAGGCGGCUCACUGGCCCGUUACUGACGCUGAGGCACGAAAGCGUGGGGAGCAAACAGG